AUUGAACGCUGGCGGCAGGCCUAACACAUGCAAGUCGAGCGGUAGCACAGAGAGCUUACUCUCGGGUGACGAGCGGCGGACGGGUGAGUAAUGUCUGGGAAACUGCCUGAUGGAGGGGGAUAACUACUGGAAACGGUAGCUAAUACCGCAUAACGUCGCAAGACCAAAGUGGGGGACCUUCGGGCCUCAUGCCAUCAGAUGUGCCCAGAUGGGAUUAGCUGGUAGGUGGGGUAACGGCUCACCUAGGCGACGAUCCCUAGCUGGUCUGAGAGGAUGACCAGCCACACUGGAACUGAGACACGGUCCAGACUCCUACGGGAGGCAGCAGUGGGGAAUAUUGCACAAUGGGCGCAAGCCUGAUGCAGCCAUGCCGCGUGUGUGAAGAAGGCCUUCGGGUUGUAAAGCACUUUCAGCGGGGAGGAAGGCGGUGAGGUUAAUAACCUCACCGAUUGACGUUACCCGCAGAAGAAGCACCGGCUAACUCCGUGCCAGCAGCCGCAGUAA
rnacentral:rRNA from 1 species